GAAAACAAAGGUGGGGCACUGAGGUAGGAGGAGGGAGUGCAGAGGACCUGGGGUUGAAGCAGAGCCGGCGAUCCAGCUGGGUGUAGGACAGGGCACUGGCCCUGCAAAGGCACAGCGAAGAGCCAGCAAGGCCGGCCAGCUCCUUCGCUCCACUGAGGCCUUGCAAAGAGCAUUUCUCAGGGGCUCAAAGUUCUUCAGGCAACUGGUGCCCAGCCUACCACCAAAUCAAGAGUAGAGCGGCUGGGCAUGGCCCAUUCCUUUGAUGGAAGGCUCAGGUGGCUGGGGAAAGAUUAGAGACUAUGGGACCGGCCAGGCCUGUAGCUCUAUUCUUUGAACAAUGGGUGGCAGGUCCUAUUCCCAGACUCAGCCAGACCAACUUCCUGUCAAAGUCAGGCACGGUCUGGGGAAAGGGGGUGGGGCCCGGGAAGGAGAUGAAAGAGCCCCGCCUGGAUGUCUACAGCCCUCCAGCAGAGACCUGAUUUCUACUGAGCAGGGUUUGGCCUGACCACUACUUUUUGAGACCAGACGAACUGGGAGAGGGGCGACACGGGGAAGGGAGACAGCGCGGGACGGCAAGAACCACGAGGAAGGGCAGGGCCCCCACCCCACAUCUGGAUUGAUGCAGUUUUCCGUUACACGGCCUUCACCCUGAGCCUCAGCAGGAAGUACCUCACCAGACACUCAGCAUCCACGCCCUGUGCCUCUUUGCAAAAACCCUUCCAGGUUACUUUGAGCCCUGACCCUCAGGAACUCCGCCGGAACCAGCACCAUCCUGGCAGCUCUGGCUGGCACCCGGAACACGCGAGGAUGUGCAGGCAUCUUGGUGAAGUUGCUGGGCUCCGUCGUUCUCACCUGGGCAGAGGGAGGCUCAUGAACCUGGAAUGGCGCGCCGCCCCGGGUACCCUGGACGGUAACCCCUCGCCCACGACUAGGUGCCUGCAGGGAUCUGCCCACGGAAAAGGAGAUGUGAUCGCUGGCCCAGGCCUCGGAGCUGGGCAACCUCAACUGUCGUGGCAUCAUCCUCGCUUUUUUCUCCAUCCCAUUCACCAACCCAAAAUGAAAUUUUGGUUUUGUUUUA